UACGGGGGGGCAAGCGUUGUUCGGAAUUACUGGGCGUAAAGGGCUCGUAGGCGGCCAACUAAGUCAAACGUGAAAUCCCUCGGCUUAACCGGGGAACUGCGCUUGAUACUGGAUGGCUUGAGAUUGGGAGAGGGAUGCGGAAUUCCAGGUGUAGCGGUGAAAUGCGUAGAUAUCUGGAGGAACACCGGUGGCGAAGGCGGCAUCCUGGACCAUUACUGACACUGAAUAGCGAAAGCCAGGGGAGCAAACGGG
rnacentral:rRNA from 1 species